AGAAACAACAUUGACGGACGGAUUCUAAAAACGUGGAUUUAAUAAAGUGAUGCUGGUUCAGCCGCUAACUCAGUGAUGCAUCACAAUGAGACGGAUGUGGAUGUGAGUCCCUGAUGGCUCCGCUCCUUAUUUUGGGUCUCAGCAUUGGGGAAGAUUGGGAUUGAAGGGAAAGGAGAAGAUUCCAGAUGUUGCUUCGUCUCUCGUCAACGUCACGAACGACCGAAUCACAGCUGGAUUUCAUUCCCGUCCAGUUUCACUCACCGACGCGUCGCCUCUGCUUCGGGUCCAGAGGUUACUUCCCCGUCACGAUCGUGUCUCACCUCCUCAGCUCCGAGGGCAGUUCGAGCUCGUUGUAAGGGAUGUAACUGUCUCCCGGACCUGAAAUAUAGAAGCUCCUCACACAGAAAUCGUCUCCACUGCUCUCAGCGACUUCCCAUUCAACACGGAGCGCUUUGAUCUGACGGAGAACUCUGACAGAACCCCCUCUGGCUUGUUUGUGGCUCUUUGGGUCUCAAGCGUUGGAAAGGGAAUAACAUCGCCUUUUGGCGGAGGACACGACUUUCAUCAACUUCCAAAGUUUCCAGAGGCCGGGCCGGCUCUGAGUGCUGGAGGGAGACGUCUCACUCUGGGCGUGAGUUUGUCCUGUUUGACGUCCUGGAGAGCAGGACUUUAAAGAGCCUGGAACACCUUCGUGAAGACGGACAUGAGUGGUUCUCAGAGGGAGUUGGACAACGUGUCUCCAGCUUGUACCACCGUCCACAGAUGAAGACAAAAUAUCCUGGAUACGAAUGCCUCCAUUUUGCCUUUGGAAGCAGAAUCUGCGCUCGACCAAUCAGCAGUCACUAUGAGCCAAUUAUGACAUAAAGUCUGUUUAUAUCAUCAAAUAACGAAUUAAAACCAAACUCAUUUAGAAACUGUGUGUG